rnacentral:misc_RNA from 1 species
GGCAGUUCCCUGCCUUUAAAGUGGUAAAAUGGUGGUAGACGAUACACUCGACAAUAAGAUGAAAUGCAGUCACCAGGACUGCAGUCUGUACACAGAAAAGGUACUAUUUACAACUGUUACACUACGUCAAAGAAUCAUACAUUACAAUCAAUGAAGAAUGUUUACAAUCAAGUAUUAUUUUCCAUUUACAGACGCCCUUUGCACACAUACACACACAAUCUACUAUUUACAGGCGUUUUAUUAUUCUCUACCACUGAUUCCAUCACAUGUUAUCAACCAGAUCUACAU